rnacentral:rRNA from 1 species
UGCUACGGCCAUGCCACCCUGACUGUGCCCGACCCGUCUGAUCUCAGAAGCUGAGCGGGGUUGGGCUUGGUUAGUACUUGGAUGGGAGGCCACCUAGGAAGACCAGGUGCUGUAGGUG